UACGGAGGGAGCAAGCGUUACUCGGAAUUAUUGGGCGUAAAGGGCGCGUAGGCGAUUUGAAAAGUCUUGUGUGAAAGCCCCGGGCUUAACCCGGGAAGUGCACAAGAAACUGUUGAAUUUGAGUUCCGGAGAGGAAGGCAGAAUUCCCGGUGUAGCGGUGAAAUGCGUAGAUAUCGGGAGGAAUACCAGUGGCGAAGGCGGACCUUCUGGACGGAGUACGUGACGCUGACGGCGCGAAAGCCAGGGGAGCAAAGCGGGAUU
rnacentral:rRNA from 1 species